UAGCUAGAAUGGGCUGUCGUGGCGCUUAUGCAGUUCUGCCAGUUGGGUUCUGCCCAAUUUUUAACAGAACCCUGCUAAGCGACGAGGAAAGUCCGGACUUCAUCGGGCAAGGUACUGGUUAACGGCCAGGCAGAUUUUCCAUGAUCACCACGUCUCGCAAGAGACGGUGAAAGCAAAAAGUCUGACGGAAAGUGCAACAGAAAGUAAACCGCCAGUGUUAUAGCUGGUAAGGGUGAAACGGUGAGGUAAGAGCUCACCAGUGUCCCUGGUAACAGGACAGCUUGGUAAACCCUACCUGAAGCAAGACCAAAUAGGGGAGAUGGAUCUCGUCUCUGCAUCCAAACCAGGAAACUGGGAAUGAGCAGGGAUAGGAUCAAGUGCCGCCCAGCGCUAGGCUCCCGGGUAGGUUGCUUGAGGGGGUCAGUAAUGGCCCUCCUAGAUUGAUGACAGCCUCUAGGGCUCUUUGCCCUAAAGACAGAAUCCGGCUUAUCGCUCUAGCAGCUGA
rnacentral:RNase_P_RNA from 1 species